GAGGGUGUAGCUCAGUAGCAGAGUAUGUGCUUAGCAUGCACGAGGUCGUGGGUUCAAUCCCUCGUACCUCCA
rnacentral:tRNA from 1 species